rnacentral:rRNA from 1 species
GCAGUCGAGCGAGCGGAACUAACAGAUUUACUUCGGUAAUGACGUUAGGAAAGCGAGCGGCGGAUGGGUGAGUAACACGUGGGGAACCUGCCCCAUAGUCUGGGAUACCACUUGGAAACAGGUGCUAAUACCGGAUAAGAAAGCAGAUCGCAUGAUCAGCUUUUAAAAGGCGGCGUAAGCUGUCGCUAUGGGAUGGCCCCGCGGUGCAUUAGCUAGUUGGUAAGGUAAAGGCUUACCAAGGCGAUGAUGCAUAGCCGAGUUGAGAGACUGAUCGGCCACAUUGGGACUGAGACACGGCCCAAACUCCUACGGGAGGCAGCAGUAGGGAAUCUUCCACAAUGGACGCAAGUCUGAUGGAGCAACGCCGCGUGAGUGAAGAAGGUUUUCGGAUCGUAAAGCUCUGUUGUUGGUGAAGAAGGAUAGAGGUAGUAACUGGCCUUUAUUUGACGGUAAUCAACCAGAAAGUCACGGCUAACUACGUGCCAGCAGCCGCGGUAAUACGUAGGUGGCAAGCGUUGUCCGGAUUUAUUGGGCGUAAAGCGAGCGCAGGCGGAAGAAUAAGUCUGAUGUGAAAGCCCACGGCUUAACCGAGGAACUGCAUCGGAAACUGUUUUUCUUGAGUGCAGAAGAGGAGAGUGGAACUCCAUGUGUAGCGGUGGAAUGCGUAGAUAUAUGGAAGAACACCAGUGGCGAAGGCGGCUCUCUGGUCUGCAACUGACGCUGAGGCUCGAAAGCAUGGGUAGUGAACAGGAUUAGAUACCCUGGUAGUCCAUGCCGUAAACGAUGAGUGCUAAGUGUUGGGAGGUUUCCGCCUCUCAGUGCUGCAG